rnacentral:lncRNA from 1 species
UGUGACUGGCGGAUUUCGAUCCCCAUUGAUCCGGUGAGUUCUGUUUUCCCGAGAGCUGUUCCCUCGGCGGUUUGCUGUUGAGAAUAGCUUCCACAAUAAGUGAUAUCUCUGGAAGUUUAUAAUUGGCUUCAGGCAAUGUUCAAAAACAGUGAGUCUUCCCAAACAGACAACGCUUUUGAGAUGAAAUCAAUCAAGUUGUUGCUCGUUUUUUCUCUUUGCAUCUCUGUUGGCGGAUAUGGCCUCAACUGUCACACAUGCUCUUCCGACAGGGGUUGGUUUGAAUGUAAGAAAUACCAGAGAGUGCAGAUCUGUCAAUCCAGUCAGGAUACAUGCGCCUCGUUUCACGGGAGGACAAAGUAUACCAAUAAGUAUGACAAAGGUUGUGGUUUCAAAAGAAUGUGCAACGGCACCACUUCAAUCUGCAACGAGAAGAAAUUCAUUGAGUGCCAGAUCUCCUGCUGUAGCAGGGAUUUAUGCAAUUGAGCCUACGUACCAAUGGUUGGCCUGUCCUCGUGUGGUCUUAGAAAGCAAUUCCUGAUAAUGAACGCUAAAUAAAUUGAUUUUUAGUGAGACCCUGUAUCAAGCAACUAUAACCCCGAGUUUACACUCAAGCGUUUACCAAGGUAUAAACAUUAACUGACUAAACCUUGUUACAUUUGUAUAGUGUUUAUACUGGCUCAAAUAACUAAGGUAAAUCUGUCAUCAAUCACAAUCUAAUCGAAUUGGCGGAAAAUUCUAAAUCCACGCAUAAAAUGCUCGCGUUUAAAAGAGAAGCUGUGGUUCUUGUAGUCCUCGCGUUUUAUUUUCUUGUUCUUGUUGAAGAAUGAUGGAAGGAGUACUUUCGUAAUGAUUUGUGUCUUUGUUUCUUGCCAUAACUUCUUCGUAGACUGAAACCAAACACGAAAACGUGGUCUCGAAAACGUGAUCGAAUGAGACUGGCGCAAUGCCGACAUCGCAGGAUGUGAAAUUCUAUGCGACCGCAAGCGGAUGUAUCUGUCAUCCAAACCUUGCUUACUGACCUUAACCAUACCUGCUCGCAGGGUAAACCAUAGUUAGUAGAGGGUAACUAACUAUGGGUAAACCGAACUUUUACCUUAGUUAACUUUCUAUUGUCUUGAGCGGUGUUUAUCGGGGUAUCAGUUGGCGUUUACACACGAAAAAUAUUUACAUAGGUAAGUUAACUCUAAUACCUCGGUAGCACGCUCAAGUCUAAACACGGUAAUUACACGAAACGAGUACAUUAAUUUUUUUUUAUAUUCUUUCUUUGCUCGCACUGUUCAGAUGUUGUAAGUUUAGUCUAGCUGAUGGUAGAUCAACUUUACGUCUUUCACAUUAUUUAAUUGUGUUCUGCCGAGGUUAAAACCAUAGUUAGUAGACUAACUAUGGUAAAACUGAUAACUUAUAUAUAUAUACCUGGACAUCAUCACCAUAGCAUGCUACAAAACUACAAACUAUGGAUGAUCUAUGAGAAAACCACCAGCAAUAAAAAUCUGACAUAACGAGUGUUACUUACCAUUACUUUCUUAAAGCGCAUUGAGUUUUCUACACUCACUGGGAUGUUUUGACAAUAAAGUAGCUGUUUAAAUGGCAA